rnacentral:rRNA from 1 species
AUUGAACGCUGGCGGCAUGCCUUACACAUGCAAGUCGAACGGCAGCGGACCUUCGGGUGCCGGCGAGUGGCGAACGGGUGAGUAAUAUAUCGGAACGUACCUUUCAGUGGGGGAUAACGUAGCGAAAGUUACGCUAAUACCGCAUAUUCUGUGAGCAGGAAAGCAGGGGAUCGCAAGACCUUGCGCUGAUUGAGCGGCCGAUAUCAGAUUAGCUAGUUGGUGAGGUAAAGGCUCACCAAGGCGACGAUCUGUAGCGGGUCUGAGAGGAUGAUCCGCCACACUGGAACUGAGACACGGUCCAGACUCCUACGGGAGGCAGCAGUGGGGAAUUUUGGACAAUGGGCGCAAGCCUGAUCCAGCCAUGCCGCGUGAGUGAAGAAAGGCC